CUAGUUUCCACCAAGCCAGAAAGAAAAGCCUUCUGGUUUUUGUGUUAUCUUUGUUCAGAGUGAUCUGCUCAAAAAACCAAAAACAAUAUCAUCAAUAUAUAUAUUUAUAUUUAUGUAUAAUACAUGCUGAUGAUGAUGACUUUGUCUAUGCAGAGAGAGCAGUUUAUAAUAAUAUUGUUAAAAAUGGCACCUUUAACUCUCUUUCUUCUUUUCUUAUCUUCAUCCACAUAUUGUUGCUCUGCAGUUUCUAAUCUAACUUCUUCAAAACCACUCUCUCUGAAACAAACUCUGAUCUCCUCCAACCAAGUUUUCGAAUUGGGGUUCUUCAAUCCCACCAACUCAUCAAAGCAAUAUCUGGGUAUUUGGUAUAAGGGAGACUCUUCUCCUCACUCGGUUGUCUGGGUUGCCAACCGUGAAGAUCCACUCUCGCUCACUGACACUUGGGCUCUUCUUCAAAUCAGCAGUAAUGGAAAUCUCGAGCUUCUUAAUGGAACCCCACAAAACUCCUCUGUACUUUGGUCAACCAAAGUUGACCUCUCUUCCAACUCUACGCUGGCUAUACUCUUAGACAACGGAAACUUCGUCCUCAGAGACUCCACUUCAGGAGCAGAUUUAUGGCAGAGCUUCCAGCACCCAUGCGACACUUUCUUACCCAGCUCCGUUCUCGGUUUCAAUCUCAAAACCGGAGACAACUACAAAAUCAAUUCGUGGAAAGCCGAAAACGACCCUUCUCCGGGAGAUUUCACGUUCGGGAUCGCGAAGAAGAAGCCGCCGGAAGCCGUGGUUUGGAUUGGAUCCGCCAUUUACGCGAGAAGCGGACCUUGGGACAAGCUCAAGUUCACCGGCGUACCUGACAUGGCUUCUUCGUACAAGAGUCCAUACAAUCUGGUUGAAGACGUAGAAGAAGGGACGACGUAUCUCUACUUCAACAAUGGCUUCAACAACUCGGUUCUGUCGAAGGUGUUGCUCUCGCCGGACGGAAUGGUUUCGAUCAUGCUCAAAGACAAGGCUGGUUACUGGUACGCUAACUAUCAGGGUCAGAACGAAUGCGACCAGUACGGCAUCUGUGGCCCUUUUGGGGUCUGCAAGAUCACAGAUUCUCCAAUGUGUAAGUGCUUAAAAGGGUUUGAGCCAAAAUCAGUGGAAGAGUGGAACAAAGGGAAUUGGAGUGGAGGGUGUGUUAGGCAAACUGAGCUGCUUUGUCACAAGAAAAGUAACAAUAAUGUUAGUGAGAAUAAUGGGCAGAAGAAGGAUGAGUUUGCCAAGAUUGGACAGGUUUGUGUUCCUGAUUUCUAUGAGUAUAUGGAAGCUGCUCCAAGUGUUGAUGCAUGCCAUACAUUGUGUUUGAAUAAUUGUUCUUGUAUAGCUUAUUCUUUUAUCAGUGGAAUAGGGUGUUUGGUGUGGUCAGACACACUUGUUGACAUUACAGAGUUUGAAUCUAGUGGAGAUGAUCUGUUUUUUCGCCUUGCACAUUCAGAACUACUAGGUGAAGGAGGGCAUUCGAGUAAGACCAAAAUCAUCAUUGGCCUUGUUGUAGCGGUUUCUGCUGGUGCAGCAUUAUUAGCUGUUGUAACCUUCUGUUUGCAUAGACGAAAAGCUAAGAGAAAAGCCACUACUGCAACAAAUAAUGAGUUGAUUUGGACAAGUACUAACUUGAAGAGAGGAGAUGAUCAACCUGAGCUUCAUUUUUUUGAGUUGGAUAGUGUUCUAAUAGCCACAAACAAGUUCGGCAUUACAAACAAGCUUGGUCAAGGAGGGUUUGGUCCUGUUUAUAAGGGACAACUACAUGGGAAGGAAGUUGCAGUGAAAAGACUGUCUAGCAGCUCAUCACAAGGCGAUGAAGAAUUUAGAAAUGAAAUGAUAUUGAUCUCCAAACUUCAACAUAGAAAUCUUGUUAAGCUCAUUGGUUGCUGCAUUGAAAAUGAAGAGAAGUUGUUAAUAUACGAGUUCAUGCUCAACAAGAGCUUGGAUACUUUUAUUUUCGAUGAUAGAAGAAGGGUAGAGCUUGAUUGGGCCGUACGAUUCAACAUUAUUGAUGGCAUUGCGAGAGGUCUUGUGUAUCUCCAUCGCGAUUCCAGUUUAAGGGUGAUCCAUCGAGAUUUGAAGGCCAGUAAUAUUCUAUUGGAUGAGAAGAUGACUCCAAAAAUUUCUGAUUUUGGAUUAGCAAGGAUUUUUGAAGGCACGUUAGAUCUAGCAAAUACUCAUAGGGUGGUAGGAACAAUUGGUGUGUUUAAUCAAUUGCAGCGGCUAUAUGUCUCCAGAGUACGCAUUGAGAGGAAUCUUUUCGGAAAAAUCUGAUGUGUUUAGCUAUGGCGUGUUACUACUAGAGAUAAUAAGCGGGAAAAAGAAUACUAGCUUCAAGGAUGAGGAUCAAUACCAAGGCCUUAUUGCAUAUUCAUGGCAGCUAUGGAGUGAAGGCAGAGGAAUAGAGUUGGUGGAUGAAGCAUUGGGCGAGUCAUAUAAUGAAUCAGAGGCAUUGAAAUGCAUACACAUUGGGCUUCUGUGCGUUCAAGACUUUGCCACAGAUCGACCUUCCAUGGCUCAAAUAGCUUCCAUGUUAAGUAACCAAAUAUUUGAUCAACCUCAACCCAAACAACCUAUUUUUACUUUUCAAGCCAGCAGUAGUAGUUAUGAUCCUUCCACACAAAGUGGUAGCAGAUGCUCUGCCACUAUAUCAGUGGUUGAACCUCGAUAAAAAUAAAAUUUAAUGCUUAUAUGA